AAAAAAGUAAACUAUGGGUUCCCGUGCCAACGUUUGACCGUCCGUCCUAUAUGAAAUUUUUUUAUAAUUACUAUUUUCGUUAUUGUUAGAUGAUAAAACAUGAUUAAUACUUUAUACGUGACUUAUCUUUUUAAUUUUUUUAUAAUUUUUUUAAAUAAGACGGACGGUCAAACGUUGGACACGGAAACCAGGGUUUGUCUUUUU
rnacentral:pre_miRNA from 1 species